GAUGAACGCUGGCGGCGUGCCUAAUGCAUGCAAGUCGAGCGAACGGACGAGAAGCUUGCUUUUCUGAUGUUAGCGGCGGACGGGUGAGUAACACGUGGAUACCCUACUUAUAAGACUGGGAUAAUUUCGGGAAACCGGAGCUAAUACCGGAUAAUCUUUUGAACCGCAUGGUUCAAAAGUGAAAGACGGUCUUGCUGUCACUUAUAGAUGGUUCCGCGCUGCAUUAGCUAGUUGGUAAGGUAACGGCUUACCAAGGCGACGAUGCAUAGCCGACCUGAGAGAGGGAUCGGCCACACUGGAACUGAGACACGGUCCAGACUCCUACGGGAGGCAGCAGUAGGGAAUCUUACGCAAUGGGCGAAAGCCUGACGGAGCAACGCCGCGUGAGUGAUGGAGGUCUUCGGAUCGUAAAACUCUGUUAUUAGGGAAGAACAUAUGUGUAAGUAACUGUGCACAGCGUGACGGUACCGAAUCAGAAAGCCACGGCUAACUACGUG
rnacentral:rRNA from 1 species